GUGCUCACUUCGGCAGCACAUAUACUAAAAGAAGAAGAUCAGCUUGGCCCCUGCUCAAGGAUGACACAAAAUUCAUGAAGCGUUCCAUAUUUUA
rnacentral:snRNA from 1 species